GAUUACAGAUCAAACCUGCAAGACGAAAAGCAAUCAAAGAAAAAGAUGGAAUUUUGGAUUUAGUCUACUUCUUGAAGCAAGUAGAGGGUAAUUGUCCUUAUAAAAACUUGAUGCAGCCUCCUAUUUCGGUAUGGCUAAGUAAUAUAGAACUGGUGAAGUAAUUUCUGUUAAGAAUGGAGAAGUUUUUAACUUCCCUCAAAGGCUUCCAAUAUUCUAAGCCAUUGUUAACAUCAGAUGCAGGAAUGUUGGGAGUCUUCGAGGGAAAUUGAAGACUGACUCUUUGAGCUCGGUGAUGCUUCUGUUCUGCUGAGUGAUUAUUAAAAAAAUGCUUUUGCUUCUUUAUUGAUGGACUUGCAAGAACAAGCAUGCUCUUAACAUGUGCUUGCCUGUCCAGUCUCCGCUAAUUUUGUUGAACUCUUGUUUCUGAUAUAUGCAAAUAUAUGCAUAGCAUGUAUGAACUAAGGUCCAAAAUUUUUUAGUCCAGGAUUGGAACUACUGGAUGAGGUAUGCUUUUCUAUUUGUUGUAUUUUUUUUAUGCAGUUAGUAACAUAUUUUAGACUUGGAUGUACAUUUUCUAUGAGAAAACUUGUAUGAUCUUGGUGCCUUUUUUAUGUACGUUUGUUAAGCCAUGAAUGCUACGGUUAUUUCAUCUUCCCACCGAUUCGGAUAAUGUGACAAGUCCAGUAUGUUUAUCAGAACAAAUCUUUUGAGAUAGCAACUGCUUGCACCAGGGCAGAGAGAAUUUGGCCCAAGCUCUAUUUUUUUUUUUUUUUUGAAAGGCCCCAAACUAUAUCUUUGAUGGCCUGGAAAAGAGAAAGAGACAAUCUUUUUAGUUUAUGAUCUUUGUCUACAGCAUUAUUGUAGUGCUAAUGUAAUUUCUGCAGCUAUGACAUUAUCAUCUGGAAGACAAAUUAUUUAUAUUGUUCAGUGUCUUGCUAGACUCAAUAACAUGAGAUGGAUGGUGGGAAUAUUAAUCACCAGGUUCUACGAACAAGGUUGAAUUGCACUCUUUAUCUUCAGUUUGGCUCAUGAAUAGGCCAUGAAAAUCCUUAAAAACUUUACAUGUUAGAAAAUUUCAAACCUAUAAAAGUGUUCUCAAGAAUUAAAUUAUUGCUUAAUGCAUUAGCCACAGAAGCCAGUUUUAUUGAUAUUAAUAUCAAUGUUUAAAGAUUUUAUCCUAUUCGUUUUCAAAAUUAUGUGAUUGACUGGUUAUAAUAGGAGAACAUUUUUAUUGCUUGUAAGUCAAGUAGCAGUGCAAGUUGCAAACUGAUGCUAAAAUCUGGCGCUUUCAGUCAUCUUGUUUGGUUAUUGGCAGUUGUAAACUCAUGUUCUUAUCUGCCAAUUAGUAAUAGUAGCAUGCUGGUGAUAAGAUAAUCACAUCCAUUGAUUGGUUUCUGUGACCAUUCUACGCCGCUGGUGGUGAUGAGAAGUGUUCUUGCUUCUCAGGGUAAGUUUUUGCUGUAAAAGUUAUGCUCUGUCAAUCUAAGGUACUCGUUCUGAUUUUGUGAUGUAUGAAUUAUUUUGACAUAAGAAAAGAAAUCUAAAAGAGUGUAAAAUUUCCAAUUUGGAAAUGCUUUUCCAUUUCCAUACGUAGCUCAAACAAGGCAAAUUUUAGUUGCUGAAUGUGUUCACUCAAGCUUAACUGAGAGAAGUUGGAAAUAAGGAAAAUUGGAGUAUAGCCAAAAUCUCAGGGCUGAGAACAGUCAAAACCUCCUGGAAAGUGAAAAUGAUGGAGUAUUUGACAGUUCAAAGCUUUGGGAAAUGGGAAAUAAUGUUGCAUAAUUUAGUGAAGUUCGAGUGAGUAUACGUUGAACUGCUUUUAGUUGCAAGAGCUUGCCAGUAGUUUAUAGCUAAUACUAAAGCAGUAUACUGAAUGUUUGGCUUCUUUGCUGUUAUGGUCUGAGAAGUGGAGAUACAGUACGAAGUUAAAGGUGUCCGGUAAUCAAUUGUUUCUGGUGAUCAGCUUCAAGUAUAAUCUGGUUACAUCUUUCUUUAGCAUGGAGUAAUUGGAAUCUAUGCCGCUCUAACUCUUGAUUUUUUUUGUUGUUGAAAAUAUUCAUGUCCGAUACAUAUUCGAUGAAGAUGUAUUUGGAGUUUAGACGAUUCAAAUAUACGAAAAAAACUGUUUAAAGAAUUUUGAAUGCAUUUAUGUCAAACAUAUACCUACAUCUGACACUCACUUCCGAAUUCGAGUAACAAAGAUCGGAAUAUAAGGAAGGCAAGAUGAUGGAUGGUGAAGAGCCGUAGUUACUCUCAUAACCUAUAAACAAGAAGCUGCCAUCAUAGUCGAUUUGAGCUCAUGGAUGUGGUUACCAAACCAGAAAAAUAAAAAGAAAACAAGGGAAAAAUGUCUAGUAAAAUUCAUGCUAGGCAUUAGAUAGAGCUAACGACGUGGAUACACAAUAGAACGUAACCCCUCAUGCCCUUGAAUCCCAGAUUUAUUUUCAAGUGAAGGAAAAGAAGCAUACCUUUGCAUAAGUUGCAGGGGGAGAGGUUCAGGUGAAAGUAUUACAAAAAACUGUGUUAUCAGUAGGUUUAAGUCGUUUAACUGGAACAUUCGGUUGGUUUCUGUAAUUUCAAUAGCAUCC